UACGUAGGGGGCAAGCGUUGUCCGGAGUUACUGGGCGUAAAGCGCACGCAGGCGGUCUUUUAAGUUUGGAGUGACAGUUGGUGGCUUAACUGCCAAAGUGCUUCGAAAACUGAAAGACUUGAGGGCUUCAGAGGGACACGGAAUUCCGGGUGGAGUGGUGAAAUGCGUAGAGAUCGGAAAGAACACCAACGGCGAAAGCACUCUGCUGGGCCGACACUGACACUGAGAGACGAAAGCUAGGGGAGCGAAUGGG
rnacentral:rRNA from 1 species